CUACUGCUGUGUUUCUACCAGUUCCUGUUUGUUCAGCCAGCUGGACUUGAUUUCCCUGUAAAUGUUCAGCCCUCACUGAGGUGCACUUCUACCAUCAGCGUGCUGCUCGAAGUCGGCCUUGUUCCCCAUGUGGGGACGAAGCGUGGGCCUCUGUGAGCUGACCUGAGAGAAACCCCUGUCGGGUGAAAUCACAUGGUCCAGACAGCUGUUUGUUCUGCUCCUGCAGUUCCGUUUGCUCGGCUCUUGCAUCCCAGUCAGACUAACACAGGUUUAAACCUGUUGAAGUCUGUCACUGGCUGUUACUGCUAUUUCAGUGUUGGUUCUGUCAGUCACCCCACCUGCACCCGCUGCUCUCCUGCCUAUUACUGCAUGCCUGCCUCAUCUGC